rnacentral:antisense_RNA from 1 species
GCCGACCACGUGCCGCGAGCCUGGGGAGAGCCCACUCCCGCGCCCCUUCCGGGCCCACUACCCCACCGGGCUGUGACCCAUCGCCCCAGUGCCUGAUUGGCAUCUUCUGCUUCUUGAAUCCCCAUGCAGAAAACGUGGCUACCAACAGCUUCUGAAUCCACCUGCAGAGAGACUGACUGCUCUGUUAUUCCCCCAGCAUCUGUGAAGAGGCUCUGACUGGCUAAAAUGUUAGUAUAGUGAUCACCCCAGGGUUAGGCAACCAUGGCUGGUGAAAAGGAAAAAUGUUAUGAACCUGGCUGUGCCAAGUCACCUGAGGAAGCUUGUAGGAGAAGGGGUCAGUUUGCAGAGAAAGGGGAGGCCUGGGCAGACGACACAAGAGGUGCCCAUUACAUCCCUCUAGAGGAAGGAGUCUGUAGCUUUAGGGGAAGACAGAGCCACAAGAUGAAAGGAGCUUGGAUGUCUGAACUAUUCCAUGGAGAAAAGCUGCAGCCAAUGAAGAACACCUGCAAUGGACUCUUAACCUGGGGGUGACGACAACCACUGAAAUAUGCUGCAUCUUAGUCCAGGGAUUUUUAAAGUGUGGUUCCUGGAAGAGCUGGAUCAGAGUCAUCUGUGUUGAUGGUUUAACGUAAAGAUUUUCGGGCCCCAAGACUCAAGUAGGACAAGGAAUUUGAAUUUUUAAGCAGCUCACCUGACUUGUCUGUCCUCUAAUGUCUGAGGACAUCUGACCUCUGCUCUUUCAGUAAAAGCAACAAUGGUUUUAUGAGCAUCGUCGUCACAUCUCUCCACUCGAGGGAUCCUUCUCAUUUCUCCCAGC